rnacentral:rRNA from 1 species
AUUGAACGCUGGCGGCAUGCCUUACACAUGCAAGUCGAACGGCAGCACGGGUGCUUGCACCUGGUGGCGAGUGGCGAACGGGUGAGUAAUACAUCGGAACAUGUCCUGUAGUGGGGGAUAGCCCGGCGAAAGCCGGAUUAAUACCGCAUACGAUCCACGGAUGAAAGCGGGGGACCUUCGGGCCUCGCGCUAUAGGGUUGGCCGAUGGCUGAUUAGCCAGUUGGUGGGGUAAAGGCCUACCAAGGCGACGAUCAGUAGCUGGUCUGAGAGGACGACCAGCCACACUGGGACUGAGACACGGCCCAGACUCCUACGGGAGGCAGCAGUGGGGAAUUUUGGACAAUGGGCGAAAGCCUGAUCCAGCAAUGCCGCGUGUGUGAAGAAGGCCUUCGGGUUGUAAAGCACUUUUGUCCGGAAAGAAAUCCUUGACUCUAAUACAGUCGGGGGAUGACGGUACCGGAAGAAUAAGCACCGGCUAACUACGUG